CAAACAAACUACCCAUUUUCUUUUUUGGAACUCAUGAGACUGCUUUUUUAGGACCAAAGGAUAUAUUUCCUUACUCAGAAAAUAAGGAAAAGUAUGGCAAACCAAAUAAACGAAAAGGUUUCAAUGAAGGCUUAUGGGAGAUAGA